UACGUAGGGUGCGAGCGUUAAUCGGAAUUACUGGGCGUAAAGCGUGCGCAGGCGGUUCACUGUGUCCGAUGUGAAAGCCCCGGGAUUAACCUGGGAAUGGCAUUGGAAACUGGCGGGCUUGAGUGUGGCAGAGGGGGGUGGAAUUCCGCGUGUAGCAGUGAAAUGCGUAGAGAUGCGGAGGAACACCGAUGGCGAAGGCAGCCCCCUGGGCUAACACUGACGCUCAGGCACGAAAGCGUGGGGAGCAAACAGG
rnacentral:rRNA from 1 species